GCCAUGCCAUUUUUAGAUCAUAUUUUUAAGUUACAUAGGGCUCCCCAGUCUAUUGUUUCUAACAGAGAUAAGAUUUUUACUAAUUUAUUUUGGAUGGGGUUGUUUAAAUGUUUAGGGAAAACACUGGCUUUUAGUACAGCUUACCAUCCUCAAUCUAAUGGCCAAACUAAGAGACUUAACCAUCCACUUGAUGCACUUGGCUUUCUCUUGUAGAAUGGUGGUACAAUUCCUCUUCUCAUGGUGCUAUUGGAAUGGCACCUUUGGAGGCAUUAUAUAGUUAUUUACCAUCAUUUCUUCCUUUCCUAUUGAUUCUCCUACUCUUGGGGCUGUGGACACUUUAUUGCAGGAAAGACAGCAACUAGAUCAAUUGUUGAGAGAAAAUUCGUUGCUGGCACAAAAAAGAAUGAAACAACAAGUGGAUAAGCAGAGAUAAUAGAGGGAAUUUGAUAUGGGGGAUUGGGUUUAUUUGAAGCUGCAGCCAUACAGACAAGCUUCAAUGUCUAUUAGGCAUU
rnacentral:misc_RNA from 1 species